rnacentral:sRNA from 1 species
GCUGGGCAUGGUGGUGCAGGCCUGAAAUCCCAACAGCUCUAGAGGCUGAGGCAGGAGGAUCACGAGUUCAAAGCCAGCCUCAGCAAAAGUGAGGCCCUAAGCAACUCAGUGAGACCCUGUCUCUA